rnacentral:lncRNA from 1 species
CCGUCUUAAAGGGGCCGUGUCCCCAACAAGUCUGGGGACACGGCCUUAAUGGGGCAGUGUCCCAAUCUUCCUGAUGUCCCAAGAAAGGUGUUUAAAGGGCCAGCACCAGUCACAUAAAGAGUCCAUAAGCCCCAAUAUGCCCACCGACAGUCUUAAAGGGUCAUACACACCAAAUAAAAGUGCAUACAUUUUCACAAUCUCCCAGGGGCCAUAGUCAUGCGGGAGGAGGCUGGCAAGUAGGCUUCUCCACAAUCCAGGGAAGCAGGGCAAUUUGCCAUUUAAAGGGCCCGUUACAAAUAGCAGUUUGUAACAAGGUGUCAAUCCAUAUCUGCCAAGUGAC